GCACUUUAAGUUGGGAGGAAGGGCAGUAAAUUAAUACUUUGCUGUUUUGACGUUACCGACAGAAUAAGCACCGGCUAACUCUGUGCCAGCAGCCGCGGUAAUACAGAGGGUGCAAGCGUUAAUCGGAAUUACUGGGCGUAAAGCGCGCGUAGGUGGUUCGUUAAGUUGGAUGUGAAAUCCCCGGGCUCAACCUGGGAACUGCAUUCAAAACUGACGAGCUAGAGUAUGGUAGAGGGUGGUGGAAUUUCCUGUGUAGCGGUGAAAUGCGUAGAUAUAGGAAGGAACACCAGUGGCGAAGGCGACCACCUGGACUGAUACUGACACUGAGGUGCGAAAGCGUGGGGAGC
rnacentral:rRNA from 1 species